GGAGGGGGCUAGCGUUGUUCGGAAUUACUGGGCGUAAAAGAGUGCGUAGGCGGUUUAGUAAGUUGGAAGUGAAAGCCCCGGGGCUUAACCUCGGAAUUGCUUUCAAAACUAACUAAUCUAGAGUGUAGUAGGGGAUGAUGGAAUUCCUAGUGUAGAGGUGAAAUUACUUAGAUAUUAGGAGGAACACCGGUGGCGAAGGCGGUCAUCUGGGCUACAACUGACGCUGAUGCACGAAAGCGUGGGAGCAAACAGGAUUAGAUACCCUGGUAGUCCACGCCGUAAACGAUGAGUGCUAGAUAUUGGGAGAUUUUACUCUUCGGUUUCGCAGCUAACGCAUUAAGCACUCCGCCUGGGGAGUACGGUCGCAAGAUUA
rnacentral:rRNA from 1 species